AACGAACGCUGGCGGCAGGCCUAACACAUGCAAGUCGAGCGCGCCCUUCGGGGUGAGCGGCGGACGGGUGAGUAACGCGUGGGAACGUGCCCUUUUCUACGGAAUAGCCUCGGGAAACUGAGAGUAAUACCGUAUACGCCCUUUGGGGGAAAGAUUUAUCGGAAAAGGAUCGGCCCGCGUUGGAUUAGGUAGUUGGUGGGGUAAUGGCCUACCAAGCCGACGAUCCAUAGCUGGUUUGAGAGGAUGAUCAGCCACACUGGGACUGAGACACGGCCCAGACUCCUACGGGAGGCAGCAGUGGGGAAUCUUAGACCAUGGGGGCAACCCUGAUCUAGCCAUGCCGCGUGAGUUAUGAAGGCCUUAGGGUUGUAAAGCUCUUUCAGCUGGGAAGAUAAUGGCGGUACCAGCAGAAGAAGCCCCGGCUAACUCCGUG
rnacentral:rRNA from 1 species